GUCUAUGGCCAUACUAUCCUGCACUCUCCCAAUCUUGUCUGAUCUUGGGAGCUAAGCAGAGUCAGACCUGGUUAAUACUUGGCUGGGAGACCAUUCAGAUAGUAUUCUCUGAGAAU
ensembl:rRNA 5S_rRNA 5S ribosomal RNA